AGUCUUUGCUCGCGAACUCUGGCACCACAUGAGAACCUGCUACAUUCAAAAAAACGUCAAACGUACAUUUACGGGUAAACUCAUGGAAACGAGACUUUAAAAGUGACAGAUGUGAAUGCAUGGAAAACACACAGUAUUGUUUGUUGCGGAGUCACCAUCCCAUCUGCUACGAGAAGUGAGCCUUUGGGGACGGCAGACCUCAAGUUUGUGCAAAACCUGAUGAUCAUGUUAUCCAGAAUGAUUUGAGAUAAACCAAAGAGCAUCUUGUGUUUCAGUGGAAGAAAAUCUGACAUUUUAUACAAAGGAGUUCAUGAGACAAACCAGACAGCUAUAGACGUGCACAGACACAAUGCCCACUGAGUGGAACUGUAUCUGAAGCUCCGGUUCUGAGGGAUUGAAUCCUGAGGGAAUCUUUGGCUGAUGGUGAUGUUGAGUAAGGUGCUCUUCUUACCUGUUGGAGAAAAGCAACAAAUUUGCACAUGAAGUCCCCAAAUAUCCAGCCAGGCAGAGGAUAGAGAGUAGCAGUGAACGGCACACAGCAUAGCAGGAAAAUGAUGUCAGUGGCAGCCAAGUUAGCUGAGGAAUUAAAUAUACGUGUAAUCAACGAUCUGUUUCAUCUGAAUAGGUGAGAUGGCAGCUGCCAGAGUGCUCCAAUUUGCAGAACUAUACAUUCUGUCUCUUUUAAAAAUCCGUGGAGUUUUUUCCUCUAAUGAUUGUUUGGAGAAGACAAAAACAUCAGUACCCCAGGAAACAGCGAUACCGCCGGCUACAAUUCCUCACCUUUCCUAAACUUAUUCAUCAGCAUCACUACAUGUUCCCCACUGAAUUCAAUCAAGCUGUUCAUGAUGAGGCUACCAGACUGUUGGAAUAUCUGUGGGACAUGUGCAGCCAGAAUCAUGAAUGCAAUAUGUUGAUGGAUGAGUACAUUCCUGUUGUCUCUCAACAACACUCUACCAUCACAUGCAGAAGGCAGCACAAUACCGCUAAUUUGCGUCCUAUUGGCUCCUCUUCUAAUGCACUGGCUGCACUUUCCAUCAUGGACUUCCAUGCUGCAGUACGGCUUGUCUUCAACGAGCCCAAAAGGGCCCACGUCACACCUCUCUUCAUCUCUCUGCACCCUCCUACUUCCACUCACUCUUACGAGUUUACAUCCCUAGCAGAACGCCUGCGGUCGGUAAAUGAGUGACGGCUGAUGGUACCAUCACAGAAAGGCACAAAAUCACUCUCCAGAACGUUUUCGUUCACUGUUCCUUACUGGUGGAACGAUCUCCUUGCCUUCAUCUAGAAUGCAGAAUUAGGGGACAGCUGAAAACAGCUCAUCUUUAAAAACCAUCAUCAUAAAAAAAUCUAUGCUUUUACUUUCCUUUAAUCCCUCCCUACUCUAAGCAAAGUCUGAAACUUUGUAUUUAUAACUUUGUACACUUCUUGUAUUCCUCAUUUGCUUUGGAUAAAAGCACCUGCAAAUUGAAUAAAUGUAAAUGUUUUUUUUAAACAGUUCACUGAAAUGAACUGUCUUGGUUUUAUUUUACAGUAAUGACCGACUGAACAUUAUUCAAUACAGUGAUUAAUACACUAGCUUAGUGCUUUAUUAUAAUUGCAGAAGACAUAAAUUAUCCUUCAGGAUUUGGUGCACAGAUACUGAGGUCAGCAGAGACAUAGUUUGUCAAAUCUGCCACAUAAACUAAGCUAUUCAACAUUCAUUCCACAAUUGCAAACAAAAUUACCUCUUAAUCAUUGCUAAUGACUAGUAUUCAAUAGUUAGACAAAACAAAACAAAAAAAAAAAAAAAACCACUCUUGUUGCAUAAAUGGUUCGCCUAUGAACUUCCAUUCAUAUGCAUACUCAGACAUCACUUUUGUUGAGGUAUGUUGAUGUGGACUCUGUAAACACAAUACAAUAGCAAAGUAUUUUUCAUUCCGAGGUCUUUCUUUUCUCCAAAGGGCACCUGAUUAACAGGAACUCUUACUGAUCCUAAGCUAUUAUGCAGUCCCACUUUCACUUUAGAGACAUGUUUUUGUAUGUGAUUUAAAUUUUUUUUUUUUUUUUCUCAAUGUCAUUCACAUGUAUAAUAAUAGCACAUGCAUAUAUUGUUGUAUUUCAUGCAUUCUGCUUAAAUGUAUGCAAGCUCAUAGUCAUCUGUUUUCUUUUGACUGAUCAGAAUCAGUAGUAAUGAACCCUUGUAUUUGUUCCUCUCACUCUCUGUCCACAACAAAGCUGAUUUGCUUCAGGCA